AGGACGAACGCUGGCGGCGUGCUUAACACAUGCAAGUCGAGCGGAAAGGCCUUUCGGGGUACUCGAGCGGCGAACGGGUGAGUAACGCGUGAGUAAUCUGCCCAUCGCUUCAGGAUAGCCAUCGGAAACGGUGAUUAAUACCGGAUAUGACAUUCCUUCGCAUGUUGGGGUGUGGAAAGUUUUUUCGGCGGUGGAUGUGCUCGCGGCCUAUCAGCUUGUUGGUGGGGUAAUGGCCUACCAAGGCUUUGACGGGUAGCCGGCCUGAGAGGGUGACCGGCCACACUGGGACUGAGACACGGCCCAGACUCCUACGGGAGCAGCAGGUGGGAAUAUUGCACAAUGGGCGAAAGCCUGAUGCAGCGACGCCGCGUGAGGAUGGAAGGCCGUUCGGGUUAGUAAACCUCUUUCGAGCGAGGACGAAGCGCGAAGUGACGUACUGCAGAGAGCGCCGCUAACUACGUGACCAGCGACGCCGAC
rnacentral:rRNA from 1 species